CUCAUAAAAACAGAGGAGCAGAGAAAGCUUUUGGUAAUUUUUUUUGUAUGGUUAUAUGCAAACAAAUAAGGCAUCCAGGGUGGAUGGGUGGUUAAUUUUGAUAAAUGAACAAAUAAAAAGCAAGAUAAAAUGAGCAAACUCUUAUGUCAAGCAAUGGGCCUGAGGGAGUUUUCCUUCCAAAGUAUGAAUUUCCACUGUAGUAUUUCACAAAAAUACUGUUUUUUUUUAAAAUAGUAAAUAUCUUACAUUGGACACACCUGGGUAACUAACAUUAAAGUUGGUAGUAAGGAUUUGCUAAAUCAAUGUAAACAGAUAAAAUGAGUUUAAGUUAAAAUGCGGAUUUUAGAGGGGACAUAACAUGCAAAAUCCACUUUUUUAGCUCUUAAAGACAGUUUUUGUGUAUUGGGAGUCUCUGAAAGACUACGAAAACUCCAGAUCCUGCAAUGAUAUACUGUAUUUAGAUGCUUUUUGGGUCAUAGUUGGUCAGUCUGUUCAGAUUUUCCAUUUUCUAUUACGUUUCGUUCUCUAUUACGUCACUGUAUUUUCUGUGGAUCUUCUAAAGAUGGCUAAGCAAUCUAACGAAUCCGUCAUUUUUUUCUCGCAGUAUUCUUGUAGUUCAAGUUGAAGGAUGCCGAAGCAGCAAGCGGAAAAAUCUAAAUGUUCUGUUGUCAGGUGUAUUAACCCACACCAGUCAUUAAACGUGGGAUCAGAACCUCUUCGGAGUGCCUGGUUAAAUUUUAUUUUUCAUGGAAAUGUGCCGACAUCAGUUGGAAAAGUCCUCUUCAUUUGCGCAAAGAACUUCAGGGAGGAGUGUUUCAGCAACCUCGGUCAGUAUGAAAGAAGAUUAGCUAAAAGACUCCAUCUGUCUGAGGUGUCAGUUCCUUCUGUCUAUGGAAGCGAUGGACAGAGCAAAGAGUUGAGAAUGUGUGCAUGCUCAGUCACUUCAGCGGCGAAUGUGGAGAUGGGGGCAGCGUGAAGGAAAUAGGAGCAGGCAACAUAAAAGGAAAUAACAGAGGUCAAUCCUUUCAAUGAUCGCUGGACUCCCGGAUUCAAAACCUCCACUGUAACCUCCUGGAACUGUUUACCUGCCUGGAACCCAUGAAGCCCUAGAAGCCUUUGUGCCCUCCCGUGGUUGGCUGACCAGAGAAAACCCUGAACUUAAGUUUGUGCUGUGAUAAUAAACCUUUUGUAUUU